rnacentral:rRNA from 1 species
GAUGAACGCUAGCGACAGGCUUAACACAUGCAAGUCGAGGGGCAGCACGUCUUCGGAUGGUGGCGACCGGCGCACGGGUGAGGAACGCGUAUGCAACCUACCCCUAUCAGGGGGAUAGCCUUCCGAAAGGGAGAUUAACACCGCAUAAUCUACAGAUUUAGCAUUUUAUCUGUAUUAAAUAUUUAUUGGAUAGGGAUGGGCAUGCGUCUGAUUAGGUAUUUGGUGAGGUAACGGCUCACCAAGCCGACGAGCAGUAGGGGAACUGAGAGGUUUAUCCCCCACACUGGUACUGAGACACGGACCAGACUCCUACGGGAGGCAGCAGUGAGGAAUAUUGGUCAAUGGGCGAGAGCCUGAACCAGCCAAGUCGCGUGGAGGAAGACGGCGUUCUGCGUUGUAAACUCCUUUUGACAGGGAAUAAAAAGAGGGACGUGUCCCUUGUUGCAAGUACCUGCAGAAUAAGCAUCGGCUAACUCCGUGCCAGCCGCCGCGGUAA